UACGGGGGGGGCAAGCGUUGUUCGGAAUUACUGGGCGUAAAGGGCUCGUAGGCGGCCAACUAAGUCGGAUGUGAAAUCCCCAGGCUUAACCUGGGAACUGCAUCCGAUACUGGAUGGCUUGAAUUCGGGAGAGGGAUGCAGAAUUCCAGGUGUAGCGGUGAAAUGCGUAGAGAUCGGGCGGAACACCAGCGGCGAAGGCGGCAUCCUGGCCCUUACCUGACGCUGAGGCGCGAGAGCGUGGGGAGCAAACCGG
rnacentral:rRNA from 1 species